CCUACGGGAGGCUGCAGUAGGGAAUAUUGCUCAAUGGGGGAAACCCUGAAGCAGCAACGCCGCGUGGAGGAUGAAGGUUUUCGGAUUGUAAACUCCUUUUGUUAGAGAAGAUAAUGACGGUAUCUAACGAAUAAGCACCGGCUAACUCCGUGCCAGCAGCCGCGGUAAUACGGAGGGUGCAAGCGUUACUCGGAAUCACUGGGCGUAAAGCGCGCGUAGGCGGGAUAGCAAGUCAGAUGUGAAAUCCUAUGGCUUAACCAUAGAACUGCAUUUGAAACUGGUAUUCUAGAGUAUGGGAGAGGUAGGUGGAAUUCUUGGUGUAGGGGUAAAAUCCGUAGAGAUCAAGAGGAAUACUCAUUGCGAAGGCGACCUGCUAGAACAUAACUGACGCUGAUGCGCGAAAGCGUGGGGAGCAAACAGGAUUAGAUACCCGGGUAGUC
rnacentral:rRNA from 1 species